UCCCGGUUGGCCCGGGCAGUCUCGUCUGAACAUACAACAGACGACAGGGGUUGCGCUCGUUGCGGGACUUAACCCAACAUCUCACGACACGAGCUGACGACGGCCAUGCAGCACCUGUCACCAGGUUCCAAAAGGCACAUCUGUCUUUCGACUGACUUCCUGGGAUGUCAAGUCUCGGUAAGGUUCUUCGCUUAGCCUCGAAUUAAACCACAUGAUCCACUGCUUGUGCGGGUCCCCGUCAAUUCCUUUGAGUUUUAAGCUUGCGCUCGUACUCCCCAGGCGGAUCACUUAUCGCGUUAGCUUCGCAGCACAGAGGGUCGAAUCCCCAUACUGCUAGUGAUCAUCGUUUACGGCGUGGACUAC
rnacentral:misc_RNA from 1 species